rnacentral:rRNA from 1 species
UACGUAGGGGGCAAGCGUUAUCCGGAUUUACUGGGUGUAAAGGGAGCGUAGACGGCUUGGCAAGCCAGAUGUGAAAGGCUGGGGCUCAACCCCAGGACUGCAUUUGGAACUGUCAUGCUAGAGUGUCGGAGAGGCAGGCGGAAUUCCUAGUGUAGCGGUGAAAUGCGUAGAUAUUAGGAGGAACACCAGUGGCGAAGGCGGCCUGCUGGACGAUGACUGACGUUGAGGCUCGAAAGCGUGGGGAGCAAACAGG